GAGAGUCAAAGAGACCGCGAAACCGUUGGGAGGGAAACGAAUGUGGCCGCGAAGACCCCCUACAGGUUCAGGUAGCCUCGGUUCGGGCGCUUGCGCGGUUGGGGACCCGCCGUCGGGCCUCGCCGGCGCAAGUCCUUCCAGGCUUCCGCAAUCCUGUUUGGAGUCCGCCAACGGCGGCCGCUCGCGGUCGAGGAGGGUCGCGGGGUAGGUGCCUCUUCGUCGGCCCCUCGCGGGUUCGGGGAGGAGAACUUAGAGCCCUCGGCUCGGUGGACCGGGAGCGGUCGAGGAGCGUUGCGACAAUUCGCACGGCGUAGCGCAGGCUCCGCAGGGGCCGGGUCGCUGCUGCGCUUGCGUGCUUCGCGGCUAGUCACUGCUCGCAGUGGCAGCCGACGGUAAGUGCGCUUGCGCGGGAGACGGACCACGAUUUGCGCUUCGGUCGUUGGUGUGCGUGUGGCUCCAUCCGACCCG
rnacentral:rRNA from 1 species